rnacentral:pre_miRNA from 5 species
UCUUAUGGAUGAGCACAGAAAAGUGGUUUCUUGAGAUAGAAAUUACUCCUGGUGAAGAUGCUGUGAU